GACGAACGCUGGCGGCGUGCUUAACACAUGCAAGUCGAACGGUGAUGCGCCUUCCUUUUUGGUGGGUGUGGAUGAGUGGCGAACGGGUGAGUAAUACGUCAGUAACCUGCCCCCUUCUUCUGGAUAACCGCAUGAAAGUGUGGCUAAUACGGGAUAUUCUGGGUCUGUCGCAUGAUGGGUCUGGGAAAGUUAUUGUUUCGGUGGGGGAUGGGCUCGCGGCCUAUCAGCUUGUUGGUGGGGUGAUGGCCUACCAAGGCGGUGACGGGUAGCCGGCCUGAGAGGGUGGACGGUCACACUGGGACUGAGACACGGCGCAGACUCCUACGGGAGGCAGCAGUGGGGAAUAUUGCACAAUGGGCGCAAGCCUGAUGCAGCGACGCCGCGUGAGGGAUGGAGGCCUUCGGGUUGUGAACCUCUUUCGCCAGUGAAGCAGGCCUGCCUCGUUUGUGGGUGGGUUGACGGUAGCUGGAUAAGAAGCGCCGGCUAACUACGUG
rnacentral:rRNA from 1 species